ensembl:lncRNA
GGUCUCAGAGCCCCCCCUGAGCCUCGGGACCCCUCCUCAGAUGAAGCUGAUGGGUUCCAUCCGGGAGAGCAUCGUCCAGCGGCGCUUCCCGGAGUUCGUGCGGGAGUUCAUGGCCACCAUGUACGGGGGGCGCGGGGGACCCCCGGCCUGGGCUCGGGAGGCUCUGGGGUCUGUGGGGAUCCCCCUGGACUGAGGGGAGACCCCCAGGAGCACCCCAAAUUCCCAGGGGAGACCCCCAGGACCACCCCAAAUUCCCAGGGGACCCCCUGGAUUGAGGGGAGACCCCCAGAACUGCCCCAAAUUCCCAGGGCAGACCCCCAGGAGCACCCCAAAUUCCCAGGGGAGACCCCCCAGAAUCCACCCCAAAUUCCCAGGGGACCCCCCUGGAUUGAGGGGAGACCCCCAGGAGCACCCCCAGUUCCCCUGGAUUGAGGGGAGACCC